AAAAUCAUCACCAAGAAGAACAAACGUGCUUUGUAAGACAAUUUCUUGCGACCUCUUAUGGUGGAAGUGAUGCGACCUCUUGUGAUGACAAUGACAAAAUUGGAAAGUAGGGUGCAAGAUCAGCAGAAGUCACUAGAAAUAAUGAUAGGUACCAUCGAACAUUUGAAACAAACUCAGGCUGCUGCACCCACUGGACCUGAUUUAUCCCUGCUGGACGGAUUGCUACCAAUACAAAGAUAUGUAGACUUUGAGGACUUUGAACAACAGAUAAAUGGGGACAGUCCCCUUAGAAAGUCACUGGUACAUAGACUCUAGAUUCUUGGGGGAGCAACCGUCAGCAGUCAAAAACCAUGAUUGACUUCUGCAUGACAAGUGGACUCCAGUAUGAGUUCAACUGGG